rnacentral:rRNA from 1 species
CCUACGGGUGGCAGCAGUGAGGAAUAUUGGUCAAUGGACGAGAGUCUGAACCAGCCAAGUAGCGUGAAGGAUGACUGCCCUAUGGGUUGUAAACUUCUUUUAUAUGGGAAUAAAAUGUUCCACGUGUGGGAUUUUGUAUGUACCAUAUGAAUAAGGAUCGGCUAACUCCGUGCCAGCAGCCGCGGUAAUACGGAGGAUCCGAGCGUUAUCCGGAUUUAUUGGGUUUAAAGGGAGCGUAGGUGGAUUGUUAAGUCAGUUGUGAAAGUUUGCGGCUCAACCGUAAAAUUGCAGUUGAAACUGGCAGUCUUGAGUACAGUAGAGGUGGGCGGAACUCGUGGUGUAGCGGUGAAAUGCUUAGAUAUCACGAAGAACUCCGAUUGCGAAGGCAGUUCACUGGACUGCAACUGACACUGAGGCUCGAAAGUGUGGGUAUCAAACAGGAUUAGAUACCCUUGUAGUC